CUCCUUUGGAGAACUCACCAUGGGGCGCACCCUCUUCUUCCUGGCUCUUCUCAGUUACUGUUCAGGAGUCAGUUCUCAGGCCGCUUGGACUCAGCCGCCCUCACAGUCUGUGUCCCUGGGACAGACAGCCAAAGUCUCCUGCACCGUCAGUGGUAGCAUACACCACUUUCAGUGGCAUCGGCAAAGACCUGGGCAGGGCCCCCACUUUGUACUCUAUGGCAGUACCCGCGGACAAGGGAUCCCCGAUCGGUUCACCGAUUCCAGCUCUGGGAGCGUUCGCUAUUUAACCAUCACAAACUUCCAGCCAGAGGAUGAGGCUGAUUAUUACUGCCUUGCAUGGACCGGCAGCCAGUUACACAGUGCUAAACUCUGA